ensembl:lncRNA
UCAGAGAGAAGUGAGAGAAUGAGAGAGGGAGGUCAGAGAGAAGUGAGAGAGGGAGGUCAGAGAGAAGUGAGAUAAUAAGAGAGGGAGGUCAGACAGGAGUGAGAGAAUAAGUGAGGGAGGUCAGACAGCAGUGAGAGAAUGAGAGAGGGAGGUCAGACAGAAGUGAGAGAAUGAGAGAGGGAGGUCAGAGUAGUGAGAGAAUGAGAGAGGGAGGUCAGAGAGAAGUGAGAGAGGGAGGUCAGAGAGAAGUGAGAUAAUAAGAGAGGGAGAUCAGAGAGAAGUGAGAGAAUAAGAGAGGGAGAUGUGAGAGAAUAAGAGAGUGAGGUCAGACAGAAGUGAGAGAAUGAGAGAGGGAGAUCAGAGAGUAGUGAGAGAAUAAGAGAGGGAGGUCAGACAGAAG